rnacentral:rRNA from 1 species
UACGUAGGGGGCUAGCGUUGUCCGGAAUCAUUGGGCGUAAAGCGCGUGUAGGCGGUCCGGUAAGUCCGCUGUGAAAGUCGGGGGCUCAACCCUCGAAUGCCGGUGGAUACUGUCGGGCUAGAGUGCGGAAGAGGCGAGUGGAAUUCCUGGUGUAGCGGUGAAAUGCGCAGAUAUCAGGAAGAACACCAAUGGCGAAGGCAGCUCUCUGGGACGGUACUGACGCUGAGACGCGAAAGCGUGGGGAGCGAACAGG